ACCUUUCUAUGAUGAUAAAAGUUAUCCCUGUCUGAAAAUGUUUAAAAGAAUUAUCGAUGUGGAUGAUGUUGUGUAUCUGAGAAAUGU